AACAAGCAUAUCUAAGCUUUGUAUCAACUCAAUGUCAUGAAGACGCUGAGCUGUACGGUUCAGUUUCGCAGAAGACGCUUAAGGCGACAUGAGUCGACUCCAGACAGAGGCAGCAGCAGCAAAUGACCAAGUGUGUGUGUAUGUAUCUUUUUCAAUUAAGUUUCUAGGCCAGCCACAAACAAGAACAACAACAACAAGAACAACAACAACGAGAACAGCCACAAGGUAGACAAGCAGCUGCUCUUGAUAUUGUUGAUAAUGAGAAUGAUAAUAAUGAUGAUGAUGUUGGCGACAGCGUCCAAACAGUAAAAGAAGAAGAGGAGCACCAUGAAGAAGUCUAACAAAUUGCAAAAUCCACAUCAAGCCACACCUUAAGCAAACAGCUUUGACUGCAUUUCGCACCGCCCCAAACUUGACUGCGCACACCGUGCGUAUACUUAACGUUAAACCCUAAACCACUAAAACCAACUAAAGAAAACAAGCAGCAACGUCGCCAUCAAGUGCUCUUGGUCGAAAAGGGGGAGGUGGAAGUGAGUGAAAGCAGAGAGAAUGUGCUGUGGUAACACUUUAGGGGGUUCUGUCAUGCUUUUCCCCACCUAAACGUAGCAUUUUAUUUAAACUGCAGUUAAUUUUCACUAAAACAUUUUAAUUGUAUUUUUGUAAUCUGUCUUCCACUAGUUUUACAUGCGGCCAAAGCAAACAGCCACCAGACAAGUCAGACGACAGCAGUUGCCGCCCAAAAUAAUCCACAGUGGUGCAAAAUAAAGAGUAAAAUAGUUGUCACUUAAGAAAUAAAAGUUUAAAGUUUA